GGAUCCGUGUGCACCAUGGUCCUCCACGUCCACCCGCGUCGGGGCCGGCCUGGGAGAGGGCUGCUUCUGUUGUUUAAUAGCUAUGUCUCUUGGAAAGCCGGUGUCUUCAUCGGAUUGCUUGGCACUCUGGACGGGGCUAUGAGCCCCGGACCCCAGAGACUGGAGCCAGUGACUGGCUGGCGACCAACUGCGAGUCUGGCUCACGCAGGCGCCCCAGGGAGACAAUGGUGCCUGGCGCGUAGUGGGCGGCCAGUACGCACUCCGGGGGACUCAGCACAAAGAGCACUCACACGACAGCGUCUCUCUGUGGCUGCCGGUUGCUUUGCUUUGAUUUCUAAGCGGCUGCUCUGCUUCCUCGCGGCGCUGGACGGAGGACACAUACCUCCUUCUGAAGUUCUCAAGGCCCUUCUGUGUCCGUCACUGCCCCACGGGUUCCAGUGCCCUGAGUGUGAGGGGAGGAGGAGCAGUGUUCGUUCUUCAUGGGAUUCCUGGUGGGGACGAGGCACAGGCGUCAGCGCCUCAGACAGCGUUUGCAUCCUAGCUGCACCCCGAGCUCUGGGACCUGGGCUGAACCUCGCCUGCGCCUUGAUUUCCUCUCCUGUGAAAUGGGUUCCAAAUACUGACCUGGAAGCACUGCUACAUUUGCUAAGCACCCACCAUAGGCAGGCCCUAUGGUAGGCACCAAGGGGACACUAAGAGGGAGAUGACAUGGAUCUUAUCCUCAAGUGAAAUAAGAAGAGGAAGGUGAGGAUGGUGGUGAUGAUGAUGGUGAAGAUGAUGAUGGUGAAGAAGAUGAGGCUGAUGGUAAUGGUGAUGAUGAUGAUGGUGAGGUGAUAAUGUUGGUGAUGAUGGUGAUGCUGCUGCUGCUGCUGAUGGUGACGAUGAUUAUGGUGAUGGUAGUGAUGGUGAUGAUGAUGGUGAGCUCAUAAUGUUGGUGAUGGUGAGGAUGAUGGUGAUGGUGAGGAUGAUGAUGGUGAGGAUGAUGAUGGUGAGGAUGGUGAUGGUGAGGAUGGUGAUGGUGAUGAUGAUGGUGAUGGUGAGGAUGAUGAUGGUGGGGAUGAUGAUGGUGAGGAUGGUGAUGGUGAGGUGAUGAUGGUGAUGAUGAUGGUGAUGCUGCUGCUGCUGCUGAUGGUGACGAUGAUUAUGGUGAUGGUAGUGAUGGUGAUGAUGAUGAUGGUGAGGAUGAUGAUGGUGAGGAUGAUGAUGGUGGUGAUGAUGAUGGUGAGGAUGAUGAUGGUGAGGAUGAUGAUGGUGGUGAUGAUGAUGGUGAGGAUGAUGAUGGUGAGGAUGGUGAUGGUGAUGAGGAUGGUGAUGGUGAUGAUGAUGGUGAUGGUGAGGAUGAUGGUGAGGAUGAUGAUGGUGAUGAUGGUGAGGAUGAUGAUGGUGAGGUGAUGAUGGUGAUGGCGAUGCUGCUGCUGCUGCUGCUGAUGGUGACGAUGAUUAUGGUGAUGGUAAUGAUGGUGAUGAUGACGGUGAGCUCAUAAUGUUGGUGAUGGUGAGGAUGGUGGUGAUGGUGAGGAUGAUCAUGGUAAUGGUGAUGAUGAUGGUGAGGAUGAUGAUGGUGAUGAUGAUGGUGAUGAUGAUGGUGAUGAUGAUGGUGGGGAUGAUGAUGGUGAGGAUGAUGAUGGUGAGGAUGAUGAUGGUGAGGAUGAUGAUGGUGAGGAUGGUGAAUUAUGCCUUUCCCUCCCCCCAAGAUACAGCCACCUUGUAGCUGUGAAUGUGACCUUAUUCGGAAAAAGGGUCUUUGCAGAUACAAUCAAGUUAAGGAUCUCCAGCUGAGAUAACCCUAGGUUAUUUGGGUGGGCCCUGAAGCCCAAGGCUGGUGUCCUUAUAAAGAAAGGCAGAGAGAUUUGAGACACAGACACAGACGGAAGACCAUGUGAAGACGGAGGCAGACACUGGAGUGAUUCAUACAAGUCAGGGGCCACCUGGAGCCCCCAGGAGCUGAAAGAGACAAGGAAGGACCCUCCGCUAGAGCCUUUGGAGGAUUCAUGACCCUGCGACAACUCGAUUUCAGACUUUGACCUCCAGAAGGGAAAGACAGUAAAUUCGUGUGGUUUUA
rnacentral:lncRNA from 1 species